ensembl:lncRNA
UGUGUGUUGGCACAUUUGUGUUUUAUUUUAACAAUAUUUAUUGUGUACAGGCAUUUACAUCUCAGCUGUAGCUGAUACAUGUGUUGAGGAUUAUUCCAGCUGAACAGACUUGACUUAAAGAUUUGAAAGCUCAAAAAAAAAAAAAAAAAAAGUCUGAUUAAAUGAGAAAAUAUGUUUUGCAAACUGGAAGAAAUGGCUGUUUAUUUCCCCUCUCCACUGGACCUGACUGAAGCAAAUAAAUUCUAAUUGUGUUGUUUGGGAAUUUUUAAUCACAGCUUUGCAGAUUUCUCCCUUUAGACAAGGUUUACUGUUGCUAUGCAUCCAAAGUCAGUGUCUGUGUAUUUAAUUCUCUUCUUUUAUAAGAUUUUAUCAAACCUGUAAUCAGUGUAAACAUGACUAACAGACGAGCAGUGAUGCCUGCGCGGUCGUUCCAGCCAAAACCCAGGAACAUGUCAGCGAUUGAAGGCAUUCUGACACAAAAUGACCCAACUUAAGGCCUGAAUUAUUUCCUUAAAAAAAGAAACAGCAUCUUCUUAAGGGACUGAAACAGUAAUUUCCAGUAUAUGUAUAUCCCAAAGGAUUACACUGAGGCUUUGCUGUCAGUAUUAAAGUAACAGCUUCCUGCAUUAAUUAUUGCUUCUCUGAAUGAGGACUGGUGCUGUUAUUUUUUGCUUUUUAUCCUCGGAUGUCUGUGAGCACAAAGAGAUCCUAAAUUAUUCAUUUGUGCCGACUACGAAACGUCCCCUAUGGAUCUUAAUCGAGGCUGAAGACCUCGGGGCCCAAUUUUCCAUGAAUGAAUAAAAAGUUUCCUCCUUAACGCAAAGAAGCGGCCGCGGUGAGCGCAGCGCUGCGGUCCACAGUGCGCUCCGGCUGCCUGUUUGGGGCCGUGACAUCGGUUAGGGCCUCUGUGACACUACACCGACGGUUCAAACGCAAAAUAAAGAGAUUUAAAAUCAGUCAGACAAAUAAAUCAAUACGGUAAAUGUAUAAACAACAACAGGAACCCCUUCAGAAAUCGCCACAACACCUCCGGGUGCAUUAACAUAGCUGCUGCUUUUGCAGCUCGUCUCUUGUCUAACAGUUUCAUUAGGUCUUCCUCUCCACUGGCUCUUCAUCACUGUUUUCAUUGAGCCAGCUCGAUAGUGGAUUCAAAACAUUAGCGCGACUCAGGCGGCUGAUCGCGUGGUUUAUGCUUUAUUUACGUGAUUAGAAAAAGAAUCCAGGGCUCCUCUCGGUGACAGGGUAAAGACAGAGCAUCGGGGUCUUACCGUCAGCGGCCAGGGAGCUCUGGAUCAUCAGCAUCAGCGCCGCGCCGAUGGUCACAAACCACCGGGCCACCAUUCCAUUCAGCACGCGCGUCCUCUUCCCGAUCCUCGGCGAGUAGACGGCCACCAUCCCCGCAUCCAGGAUCCAUAGCGACGAGGAGGAAGAGCAGGGGUCUUCUUUCUUAUUUACCCCUCCGACCCCGGGGCCACCGCUGCUGGAGAGGCGCGCAUGUUUGGGAGCCAUUGGUCAACCAAUUAAUCCUGAAUGGGAAACAUCUAACGGCGCUGCUGGGAUGAAAGGCAUCCGAUCAACCUGCCCCCGGUUCGGACAAGCAGGGCUCCGCUCUCCAUGAGCCUGCUGGAGGCUGUGAAGGUCGACGAAAAAACAAAGAAGCGUUAGUUUUCUCCUUUUG